rnacentral:rRNA from 1 species
GACGAAGGUUCCAAGCGUUGUUCGGAAUUAUUGGGCGUAAAGAGUCUGUAGGUGGCUAUAUAAGUCCGAUGUGAAAGCCCGGAGCUCAACUCCGGAAUUGCAUUUGAUACUGUAUAGCUUGAGUACGGGAGAGGGUCGUGGAAUUCCUGGUGUAGUGGUGAAAUACGUAGAUAUCAGGAGGAACAUCGGCGGCGAAGGCGGCGGCCUGGCCCGAUACUGACACUGAGAGACGAAAGUGUGGGGAU